UCUGAUCCCAGUAAUUACAAGUUGUGUUCGCAUCUGUAUGGGUGGCUCGAGCAAUUUUCCGUUUCGUGACCUUUAUCUCGAGUCGAUUUUUACCUUGCAACAGUUUUAAUACCAUCGCCUUUAUGAUAGCAGACUAGCCCAGCAGCUACUUAGAAUGCGCUGGAAAUUACAAUACAAACGUGCUUCCAUCACACUUACCUACCCAUUGCUCCCUGCAUGCGUUUCAUGCCAAGCACGCAACUCGAAAACACUUGUUUUUUCCACAUUUCCGAGCAUUUCAUAUUCUGUGUGCCUUCAAUUUGAUCCGCUUACUCCCACGGACCGACGUCACACGAUCCUAAUCUACCUAUGUGGGUGCCCUGAAAAGUGAAGAAUUUGGCAACCGCGCGGAGCGAGCUCAAUCAUCACGUCAUCACGUCAUCGCGUCAUCGACGCGUCAAAGACCCAGACCCAUCCUACGAUGAUCAUGAGCCACCUAAUGAAGGGGCAUCCUUGCACGACAACGUCUCUUCUCGUACCCAAGUGAGAUGCUUCGCGGGAAUUUUAACCGGAUUCUAUCAGCGCCGCCACUCGUAUAAAUCACCAACAAUUUCAACGCGUUCACCUAUGGCCCCCGCUAGAUGCUCAAAUUACAGGUUCCUCGUGAUUUAUUACGAUGUUUCAUUUUUUUUCUCGAGGAAAAUAAGAGUGGCAAGUUUAAUGUCACAUCAUAAAAAAAUUUAACCUUUCCGUCUCGUUUGCUCGUCGGCGCUCAAACUACACACCGUGCAAUUUGCCUCCAUUUCCUUCGUUUCAUGAUAUCUACACGGAAUGAAGUGACAGAUUUGAGACUAGUAGUGUCACUGCGGGUACCUGAGGUGGACUAUACUGCCGUGCUAAGGAAGAAUGCCGUAUGAACAUUCGAGAGUUGCCAAAUUUCCCUUGAUGAAACGUGUAUUUUUGACGGUAUUCGUGCACAUUUUUCUGUGAAAUUUUCAGAUAUUUUAGAUUAAAUUGCGUACAAAGUUGUCUGAAAAUUUUGGGGGAAAAUAUUCUCAAUUUUUCUAGUAAAUUCGGUUUUUAUCGAAGGAAACUUGGCAACGUCUAAAGGCUCAUGCGACGUUUUCCUUAGCAUGACAGUAUAAUCGUCACGUUUCUGUUUUAAUGAAAAGCGGAAGUGGUCAAUCAGAGGGCGGAAAUACCUCCCUUCCUUCACCUUUAUUUUAUAUUCUCCUCCUCGAAGAGUUCUGUUUUGAUUAAGGUCUCUGAUUGACACG
rnacentral:lncRNA from 1 species